rnacentral:rRNA from 1 species
AUUGAACGCUGGCGGCAGGCCUAACACAUGCAAGUCGAGCGAGAAAGCACUUCGGUGUGAGUAAAGCAGCGAACGGGUGAGUAACGCGUAGGAAUCUACCUGGUAGUGGGGAACAACUCGGGGAAACUCGAGCUAAUACCGCAUACGCCCUUCGGGGGAAAGCGGGGGAUCUUCGGACCUCGCGCUAUCAGAUGAGCCUGCGUCGGAUUAGCUUGUUGGUGAGGUAAAGGCUCACCAAGGCGACGAUCCGUAGCUGGUCUGAGAGGAUGAUCAGCCACACUGGGACUGAGACACGGCCCAG